UACGGGGGGGGCAAGCGUUGUUCGGAAUUACUGGGCGUAAAGGGCUCGUAGGCGGCCAACUAAGUCAGACGUGAAAUCCCUCGGCUUAACCGGGGAACUGCGUCUGAUACUGGAUGGCUUGAGGUUGGGAGAGGGAUGCGGAAUUCCAGGUGUAGCGGUGAAAUGCGUAGAUAAUCUGGAGGAACACCGGUGGCGAAGGCGGCAUCCUGGACCAAUUCUGACGCUGAGGAGCGAAAGCCAGGGGAGCAAAACGGG
rnacentral:rRNA from 1 species